rnacentral:rRNA from 1 species
UUGCUCCUCUGACGUUAGCGGCGGACGGGUGAGUAACACGUGGAUAACCUACCUAUAAGACUGGGAUAACUUCGGGAAACCGGAGCUAAUACCGGAUAAUAUAUUGAACCGCAUGGUUCAAUAGUGAAAGACGGUUUUGCUGCCACUUAUAGAUGGAUCCGCGCCGCAUUAGCUAGUUGGUAAGGUAACGGCUUACCAAGGCGACGAUGCGUAGCCGACCUGAGAGGGUGAUCGGCCACACUGGAACUGAGACACGGUCCAGACUCCUACGGGAGGCAGCAGUAGGGAAUCUUCCGCAAUGGGCGAAAGCCUGACGGAGCAACGCCGCGUGAGUGAUGAAGGUCUUCGGAUCGUAAAACUCUGUUAUUAGGGAAGAACAAAUGUGUAAGUAACUAUGCACGUCUCGACGGUACCUAAUCAGAAAGCCACGGCUAACUACGUGCCAGCAGCCGCGGUAAUACGUAGGUGGCAAGCGUUAUCCGGAAUUAUU